UUCCCUGAUCAUGGAGCUCUUGGCUCUGUUCCUCUGCCUGGUGGCAGCACCCUGCUGUGUCCUGUCCCAGGUGCAGCUGCAGGAGUCAGGACCUGGCCUUGUGAAUCCUUCAGAAACCCUGUCCCUCACCUGCACAGUCUCUGGAUUCUCUUUAAGUAGUUAUGGUGUGCAGUGGACCCGUCAGGCCCCAGGGAAGGCAAUGGAAUGGGUUGGUGGUAUAUGGAGCGGUGGAAGCAUAUAUUAUAACCCCGACCUUAAAUCUCGAGUGAGCAUCAGCAGGGACACUUACCAGAGCCAAGUUUCAUUAACACUGAGCAGCCUGAGAUCUGAGGACACUGCUGUGUAUUACUGUGCAAGAUACACAGUGAGAGGAGAUUAG